GUAGUUAGCCGGGGCUUCCUCCUUGGCUACCGUCACUUUCUUCGUCACCAAGGACAGAGGUUUACAAUCCGAAGACCUUCUUCCCUCACGCGGCGUUGCUGGGUCAGGCUUGCGCCCAUUGCCCAAUAUUCCCCACUGCUGCCUCCCGUAGGAGUCUGGACCGUGUCUCAGUUCCAGUGUGGCCGAUCAGCCUCUCAGCUCGGCUACCCAUCGUUGGCUAGGUGGGCCGUUACCCCGCCUACUACCUAAUGGGACGCGAACCCCUCCUUCUGCGGAUUGCUCCUUUGACCCCUGAGCCAUGCGACUCUGUGGUCUUAUGCGGUAUUAGCACUUGUUUCCAGGUGUUAUCCCCCUCAACUGGUCAGGUUGUUCACGCGUUACUCACCCGUUCGCCACUAAGCUAUAUCCGAAAACAUAGCUCCGUUCGACUUGCAUGUGUUAGGCACGCCGCCAGCGUUCAUCCUGAGCCAUAAUCAAACUCUGA
rnacentral:rRNA from 1 species